rnacentral:rRNA from 1 species
AUGAAACCUAUUUGCAGGUUAUCAGACGAACCUGUCCAGCUGGUGGCGGAUCUCAUAGAUGAGCAUACAUGUAAUUGGAAUUCUGGGCUGGUGCGGAGCUUGUUCUUAGCACCAGACGCGGACGCGAUACUUAAUCUCCCAAGACCGAGGUCGACACAAGGGGAUUAUUGGGCGUGGGCCUGGGAUAGAUCAGGAGCGUUUACGGUUUGCUCAGCAUAUCGAGAACUUAAGGAACGACAACAAAAUUCUCAGGGUGUUCCAGGCAGCUCAUCGGGCGGUGAAGAGAGUUGGAGAUCGUUAUGGAAGCUCAGAGUGCAACCUAAAAUACGUGUUUUCUGGUGGCGGGUUCUGAAAGGCUUUCUACCAGCCAACGCAGAAUUACAGAGGAGGCAUGUGAAUGAAGAUGCUAUAUGCUUAUUGUGCGGGCACGCGGAGGAAACACUGUUACAUGCUUUGGUGCAGUGUGUUCAUGCUACAACAUACUGGGCAGAGGCAGAGAAUUUCUUUGGUAUCACAUUACCGCGGCUGUUCCCGGGAACUUGGACGAGAGGCUUGCUUGAUCCUCAGUUUUUGUCCAGAGACAAAGCAGCAAUUGCAAUAACAGUGAUGUGGGCAGGAUGGAAUAGUAGAAACAAAUACACACAUGACGAGGUGCAAUACCAACCCAUGCGUUCAAUGGAAUUGGUUCAGGAGAUGAUCAGAUCCCUUGAUGUUCUAGGCAAGGAAAUGAUGCAUUAG